CUACGUGCCAGCAGCCGCGGUAAUACGUAGGGGGCGAGCGUUAUCCGGAAUUAUUGGGCGUAAAGAGUGCGUAGGUGGCACCUUAAGCGCAGGGUUUAAGGCAAUGGCUCAACCAUUGUUCGCCUUGCGAACUGGGGUGCUUGAGUGCAGGAGGGGAAAGUGGAAUUCCUAGUGUAGCGGUGAAAUGCGUAGAUAUUAGGAGGAAUACCAGUGGCGAAGGCGACUUUCUGGACUGCAACUGACACUGAGGCACGAAAGCGUGGGGAGCAAACAGGAUUAGAUACCCUGGUAGUCCACGCCGUAAACGAUGAGUACUAGGUGUCGGGUGAAGAACUCGGUGCCGAAGUUAACACAUUAAGUACUCCGCCUGGGGAGUACGCUCGCAAGAGUAAAACUCAAAGGAAUUGACGGGGACCCGCACAAGCAGCGGAGCAUGUGGUUUAAUUCGAAGCAACGCGAAGAACCUUACCUAAACUUGACAUACCAAUGACAGCCUU
rnacentral:rRNA from 1 species